UGCAAACCCCGGCUGUGGUGCAGCGC
rnacentral:piRNA from 1 species